rnacentral:lncRNA from 1 species
UUCCUCGUUGUUACAAUGACCUUACUUCCCCUCGCCCCAUAAGUAAAAGGAGCCCGUACAAGAUCCCAAUCAGUAUAGUUGUCAUUCCAAAGGUCGUCCAACACAAAUAGGAACUUUUUCCCCAUCACUUGUUCCCUUAGUUCAACUUGAAGCAAGCUAUCUUGAAGACUGCAAGGUUUUGAGCUAAUUGAUUCAAUAAGGGUUUUAGUUACCCUCGUAGCAUCAAAAUCUUCAGAAACACAUGCCCAAGCAGUAACAUCAAAAUGUUGUUUUAUUUUUUCAUCAUUGUAAAGGAGCUGAGCAAGGGUUGUCUUACCAACCCCGCCCAUUCCCACUAUGGGGAUUACUGAUACGUGGUUGCUACUCUCAUAAUCAGAUAGCAACGUUGUUUUCAACUUGUCUUUAUCUCCAUCCCUACCAUAAAGACAAAAUUCAUGCUCAACCAAGAAUGUUGUAGGAGUUCUUUGAGAAAUUUUCCCCUUAACACCUCCUAUAAGACCAAGGAGAUUAAUUUGUUUUGCUAGGUGUCUAACCUUUGGAAUAACUCUUGUAUCCUACCAUUCAUGCCUUGAUAAAAAGGAUUAAGAGAGGUAGAUAAGAAGUUCCACACCUGGGUUUUCUUAGUUUGAUAUUCAGCUUCCACCUUGGAGCUCAAAGCUUCAGCAUCAAUCUCAUUGAGUAGAUCUUCCGCAUCAAAGACAGCAUGUUUGAGCUCAUUGAGCCAGCUUCCCACAACAGGGUUGACAAUCUGCUUCUCCUCUGCAUCAUUGAGCACUGCAUGAAGGGUUAACUGACACGCCCCGUUCCCGAUAUUUCCCCGAAUACCAGGAUAGGCACGUGCUGGCCGACACCAGAGGGUGACGAAAGCCAUUUAUUGAGUGCAAAUGCCGAAAACAAUGAAUAAUGAAUAUGCAUUUAAGGAACGUGUUCAGAGCACACAUCUAAUCUAGAACAUAAAAGAAUUAAUGUAAAAAUUUAAUGAACACAGAAGUGGGUCCUACACCGAGAGGACUCGAAGAUACCGAUGCGGAAGUGCCUGGAUGCCGGGAUUGUACGCCUCGAUUCUAAGUCCUGAAGGGGGCGCAAAACAAACAUGAGUGGACCAAUUUGAUAUAAAUAUAAUAAAACAGUUAUCAACGUACUAACCCCCAGGUUUAUGAAAACAUAUAUAUAAUGAUAAACAUAGGUUUUCCGAAUUCUAGCAUGAUGCAGUAUCUCAAAUCAUAACUCAUAUAUAUAAUAAUCACUAGUGAAUUGUCCGAUAACCUGCAGGCCCCAUGCCGGCUCCCCGUCUUUGAGCAGACAGUCAGAGGAAAAUACACUUCAGGCCCCAUGCCGGCUCCCCGUCCCUGUGCUAAAUAGCCAGAGGGAAACAACUCCAGGCCCUAUGCCAACACCAAACCGUCGCCCGGGACGGACCGGAAUCUAUCCCCGAACCCUAUCCCGUAGCGAAAGGACCACUAGGUAAAUACAGUACAAAACCAUUGAAAAACAUACAUAUAUGAAAAAAACUUCAUAGUAUAAAGUCAUCCAUCAUCUAUACUAUAAAGAGGUGUUCGAAACAUGUUCUAAAUAUCAUAUCGUCAUCCAUCAGAUAUUCUAUAAGAACACGGGGGUUAUAGGAAAAAAUAGUAAAUAAUAAUAAUUCAAGGUAGUAGCCUCAGUAAGCAUGUUAUCUCACAAAACGUUUCAUAAAACGUAAAUAAUCAUUAAAUCAUGCAUUUCAUGUAUGCAUUUCUACUAUUAUUAAACAUGCUUUUGAAGGGGUCCACUCACAGUACUUAGCCGCCGAAGAGCCACGCAAACUAACGUCACCAAUAUUGCCCCUAAGCACAUAAAGGGUCCAAUUAAUAAAACUAUAUAAUAGCAAUUGGAUUUGGGAAAACGGACGUUGGAAACGGAUUCAGAACGUCGAAUUACCCUAAGAAGGGUCCCGGACGAAAACCCGAAAAGUCAACUCUAAAGUCAAUGUUGACCGGAGGUCAACGGUCAAAUUAGGUCUAACAGGUUUUAGGCUUGAAAUCCGGAUUAGGGUUUAGGUUAAAUAGGAUUAGGAUUUAUUGGGUUUUGGUUUUAGGGUUCUAAGAUUAAAAGGGUUUGGGUUAUAAAGGGUUUAGGGUGAAAAUGGGUAGUUUGGGCUUAAACCCCAAACACACACACACACCACAAACAAACACACACACACACACGGGCUGCACACACACAGCCCAUACACACACGGCCCAAAGGCCUAAUAACCAAAAGGGUUGGGUUUUGGGUUCUAAAGGGAAUGGGUUUUUAAAAGAAAAAGGGCUUAGGGCCCUGACUUGGAAAGCCCAAGGGCUUAAAAGCCUAGGGUUUUCUGGGUUGCUGCUCACGGGCCGAAGGCCCUGUUCCAAAUUGGCCCAAGGGGGAAAGGAAAGGCCGGAUGGCCUGGGUUUGUUGAAAGAGAAGGCCGGAAAUUCGGCCGGAAAACCACCUAACUUUAAACGGCCAUAACUUUGUCAAUACUCAACGAAAUCAAGCAAGACAAAAAUGAAAGUUGUAGCCCUUGAAGAGACGAAGAGAAUGGUACCUCACACGACGUCUAACUCGCCGUGGUUUGGCCGGAAAACGCCUCGAAAUCCGUCGGACUCGCCGGAAACUGGGUAAGAUUCAAAUGAGUAUAACUUCUUCAAUACUCAACGAAAUUAAGUGAAACAAAAAGGAAAGUUAUACUACUCGACGAGACGAAGAGAUUGAUACCUUGCACGCCGGCCAACUCGUCGUGGUUUGGCCGGAAAUGGCCUCGAAAGGGGGCGGUGCCUCGCCGGAGCUUACUCCGUGCCGUCGAACUCGCAGGGCAGGGUCCGGGGUUCGUUGCGAGCCUCUCUUCGAUGGUGACUCGGUCCUAGUGAGUCCAGGGGAAGAGAGAGAUGCGAGAGGUUGAGGGAGAGAGAGACAGGAGAGCUGAGAAGGAGAGAGCUACGGGAGGGAGAAACGAAGAAGAAGAAGAGAGAGAUCAGAACACAUAAAAAAAAUAAACAAGGUGGGCCCCACGGGCUCACCAAUUAAGGCUUUAAAACAAUUUUAAAAUAUAAAGGAGGGUUGGGGUGUUUCAAUCUACCACCCUUAUAAAAAAAUUUCGUCCUCGAAAUUUAAAACAACUUACUACACCGAAAAUACUUGAAAAUAGGAAGAAGAAUAAUAUAUAUAUAUAUGUAACGAAGAGAUCAGGUAAGAGCGGUUUCACAAAAGAGAAAAUGCCACGCCGUCGCGAUCGGCUGCAAUGAUUCCAUCUUUCGUGCCUCCAGGCUCAAACUUUUUUUUUUUUCCAUCAGUGUAAAAAUAGAACACAUACUUUAAUAAAAUAUAAAGUUGAAAACACAAAAUAGCUUAAGGCCAGAUAACGUCAAAAUAGAUAUGUACUAACAUAUAGUUCACAAACUCGAAUCAACUUAAAAAUAAAAACAGAAAUACUUUUCCAAAAACAUUUGUAACGUCAAAACAAUUAACUAGAGUAAAUGAAGUUAAAAUACUUAUACUGAAAACCAAAACUGAAAAAUGAGAGUGGGUCUCGCCCAAGAAUUCGAAAUGUCAUAUAUUCUGAGAAUAGAUGUGCCUUUAGGUCGAGUCCCAAGAAAUAAAAAUUCUGAAUCUGCAUCAGCUGCUGUAGACGAAUCUUCUUGCCCACUUGCUUAACGAACCCACCAAAUAAGCUAUCGAUAUCACAGUCUGCAGCCCGCAAUAUCGACCUCACAUUUGUUGUCUCGAUAGGCAAGUAGUAAUUUCUCAAAUGGUGUACAAUUUCACAUAUCGUAGGAUCGAUCCUCCAAAUACAAGUUCGCAAGACUUUUCAGUCAACCAGUGUUUUCCAUGAAAAACUAUCGUACCAGGUCGUAAAAAGUACCAUACACCAAACCGAACAAAACAGAAACUGUCGUCAUAAAACUCUAUCCAGCACCAAGCAUCAUAUCCUUCUCAGUUCUUCCAAAUGUGACCAACUACUUCAGAAUUUCACCAGUAAAGAACCCAUUUGAAAAUUGUACCUUGGGAUUCAAGAGAAGUGGCUACCAUGUUAGUAGUAGACCCAAAAGCUCAAAUCAAGCAAGCAGAAAACGAGAAGUCAUCUUCCUCAACACGCAGUAUCUCUUACGAACUGUUGUAGUGCUCAAUCCACCUCUCCAUUUUUGCUUAGUUGCAGAUUUCAAGUCAAACAAGAUCAAAAUUGGUGGAAAGAAGAACGACUCGCAAAUGGUCAUCCUAACAACCAAAGACCACACGCACAUUUCGAGAGAAGUGUAAAGAUUAUCCAAUUCUCGCUUCGACCGUCCUGUAGUGCCAUCUCAGAAUGCACCAAACAGAUCUGCUAGAAAUGUUUUAACAACCACGUACUCACAAUAAUAAGGUUCAGAAGUGGAGCAAUGGAAAUGUGCGUUGAGGCGAACACAUAUAGUUGGAAAAUAACCGAUGUGAUGCCUAUGAAUUCUAGUAAGAUGGUGAUACAAUAUGCUGACCUUCUGCACCAAAAUCUUCACCAGUCUCUUACCAAAAUACAGCUUAAACCUCAUACCCACAUGGAAUUCUUUAUGGUAAGUCUGGUAAGCUUGUGAAAAGAUUAUGCUCCCAACAUUCAUGUCCGAAUCAACACGAACUGGGUGCCCACUUUCACCGAAACGAUCGAUUGUGAAUUUCUCACUGGUUAGGCGAGAAACCAUGUCGAGAAGGCUAAAAUAAUACUCAAGAAUUUGAGGAUCAAAACAAGUCCAUAAAAAGAUAGAUUACAAGAAAUCAGGAUUUGAACUAGAAACCACGCCAAGAACAAGCUCAUAUUGUUCUGGCAUGAUUCAAUUUUAUAUUGAGAAACCAACAAGCGAAGGAAGAUAAAGAUGCAGAAAUAGAGUCAUUGUUUCUGAUUAUUUUGCAAAUCAUCACAGUAUGGUCAACUGGUUCUUAGCCAAAAGGAAAUAGGUCUAAGCUCAAGGAUAGUUAAUAACUGAUAAUAAGAUUUAACGAGGUCAAAACAUUACGAGAUUCACAAUACUUUGUGAGAGUUGUUUCAAAGUUCAGAAAUUAAACAUAGAAUCUCUGAAUCAGCAGAAUGACGAAGAAGAAAGAUACAAAGCAACCUGCGUAUGCAUGCAGUGACACGAUUGGCUACCUUAAAGUGAUGCUCUUGAGCAAACCAAAGCUCAAUGAGUCCAGAGAAGUUUAGAGUAAAGUUCGAUCUUCGUACAAUGAUAAACAUGGUAGAGUCUCAAGCCAUUACAAUGAAAAUUACAAGACUGAACAUUUAGGCUGCAAGCAAUAGACUAAGUUCACCUUCGCCAAAAAGUACGCAGACGAGGAAAUAGGGUUUGCCACCAGGUACCCAACCCAGGUGAAAUUCAAGGAAUCUGUUUAUCCAAACAAAACUGGAUAUUCAUCAUCCAAAUCCAACUACAACAACAACAAGAAUUGCAACUCAAUUUGAAAAUUAAUGAGAAUAACGUCUGCUACUGAGGAGUUUCUCAAGAUUUCAAUGUAGAGCCGACUCCGCCCGCAAUUCCUAGGGAACGCAUGUUGCAGAGUGGCAUCGCCAUUUCAAAUCUACAGCUGGUUUUAACCAGAAUUCCUCAAAUUGAGAUUUCUAAAACACGUCGCUGAGUAUCGAUCCGAUGCUGAAAGUCGUCCAACGAUUCAAACACGUCACCGAUGAGGCACAAUCCCGACACGAAUUCUUGAAUUUCAACAAGAAGGUGACAAUUCAAUCAGAGAGAGAUUCACACAACUGCACCGACUGGCACAAAAUCCGGAAGUCGUGACAUCCAAAUGAUGUCAAAACCAACACUUUAAGAGAAUAGAAAAGAACCCUAAGUAUGCUCUGAACAAACCACGCUCUGAAACCAAUCUGACACGCCCCGAUCCCGAUAUUUCCCCGAAUACCAGGAUAGGCACGUGCUGGCCGACACCAGAGGGUGACGAAAGCCAUUUAUUGAGUGCAAAUGCCGAACAAUGAAUAAUGAAUAUGCAUUUAAGGAACGUGUUCAGAGCACACAUCUAAUCUAGAACAUUAAAAGAAUUAAUGUAAAAAUUUAAUGAACACAGAAGUGGGUCCUACACCGAGAGGACUCGAAGAUACCGAUGCGGAAGUGCCUGGAUGCCGGGAUUGUACGCCUCGAUUCUAAGUCCUGAAGGGGGCGCAAAACAAACAUGAGUGGACCAAUUUGAUAUAAAUAUAAUAAAACAGUUAUCAACGUACUAACCCCCAGGUUUAUGAAACAUAUAUAUAAUGAUAAACAUAGGUUUUCCGAAUUCUAGCAUGAUGUGCAGUAUCUCAAAUCAUAACUCAUAUAUAAUAAUCACUAGUGAAUUGUCCGAUAACCUGCAGGCCCCAUGCCGGCUCCCCGUCUUUGAGCAGACAGUCAGAGGAAAAUACACUUCAGGCCCCAUGCCGGCUCCCCGUCCCUGUGCUAAAUAGCCAGAGGAAACACACUCCAGGCCCUAUGCCAACACCAAACCGUCGCCCGGGACGGACCGGAAUCUAUCCCUACGUCCCGUAGCGGAAAGGACCACUAGGUAAGUACAAAACCAUUGAACAUACAUAUAUUGAAAAACAACUUCAUAGUAUAAAGUCAUCCAUCAUCUAUACUAUAAAGAGGUGUUCGAAACAUGUUCUAAAUAUCAUAUCGUCAUCCAUCAGAUAUUCUAUAAGAACACGGGUUAUAGGAAAAAUAGUAAUAAUUCAAGGUAGCCUCAGUAAGCAUGUUAUCUCACAAAACGUUUCAUAAAACGUAAUCAUUAAAUCAUGCAUUUCAUGUAUGCAUUUCUACUAUUAAAACAUGCUUUUGAAGGGGUCCACUCACAGUACUUAGCCGCCGAAGAGCCACGCAAACUAACGUCACCAAUAUUGCCCCUAAGCACAUAAAGGGUCCAAUUAAUAAAACUAUAUAAUAGCAAUUGGAUUUGGGGAAAACGGACGUUGGAAACGGAUUCAGAACGUUGAAUUACCCUAAGAAGGGUCCCGGACGAAAACCCGAAAAGUCAACUCUAAAGUCAAUGUUGACCGGAGGUCAACGGUCAAAUUAGGUCUAACGGGUUUUAGGCUUGAAAUCCGGAUUAGGGUUUAGGUUAAAUAGGAUUAGGAUUUAUUGGGUUUUGGUUUUAGGGUUCUAAGAUUAAAAGGGUUUGGGUUAUAAAGGGUUUAGGGUGAAAAUGGGUAGUUUGGGCUUAAACCCCAAACACACACACACACCACAAACAAACACACACACACACCGGGCUGCACACACACAGCCCAUACACACACGGCCCAAAGGCCUAAUAACCAAAAGGGUUGGGUUUUGGGUUCUAAAGGGAAUGGGUUUUUAAAAGAAAAAGGGCUUAGGGCCCUGACUUGGAAAGCCCAAGGGCUUAAAAGCCUAGGGUUUUCUGGGUUGCUGCUCACGGGCCGAAUGCCCUGUUCCAAAUUGGCCCAAGGGGGAAGGGAAAGGCCGGAUGGCCUGGGUUUGUUGAAAGAGAAGGCCGGAAAUUCGGCCGGAAAACCACCUAACUUUAAACGGCCAUAACUUUGUCAAUACUCAACGAAAUCAAGCAAGACAAAAAUGAAAGUUGUAGCCCUUGAAGAGACGAAGAGAAUGGUACCUCACACGACGUCUAACUCGCCGUGGUUGGGUCGGAAAACGCCUCGAAAUCCGUCGGACUCGCCGGAAACUGGGUAAGAUUCAAAUGAGUAUAACUUCUUCAAUACUCAACGAAAUUAAGUGAAACAAAAAGGAAAGUUAUACUACUCGACGAGACGAAGAGAUUGAUACCUUGCACGCCGGCCAACUCGUCGUGGUUUGGCCGGAAAUGGCCUCGAAAGGGGCGGUGCUCGCCGGAGCUUACUCCGUGCCGUCGAACUCGCAGGGCAGGGUCCGGGGUUCGUUGCGAGCCUCUCUUCGAUGGUGACUCGGUCCUAGUGAGUCCAGGGGAAGAGAGAGAUGCGAGAGGUUGAGGGAGAGAGAGACAGGAGAGCUGAGAAGGAGAGAGCUACGGGAGGGAGAAACGAAGAAGAAGAAGAGAGAGAUCAGAACACAUAAAAAAAAUAAACAAGGUGGGCCCCACGGGCUCACCAAUUAAGGCUUUAAAACAAUUUUAAAAUAUAAAAGAGGGUUGGGGUGUUUCAUUAACAACGUCAGCUUCAACUUCUCCAUGAGCGAACAAUCAAGCUUUUUCCCCCGAAACAGAUCCAAGAACUCGCCGGAACCAAUCUUAUCGCACAUCACGUGGAUGGAAGCAGAGAGAAAAGCCUCUCCAAUCAAAGCUCCUGCCAUUUCACCUCUCUAUCUCUGUUUUUCUUUUUUCUUCGAAAAAUUGUUAGAGGUGAGGAAGAAUAAGAGACUUAUAGGAUUUAUUGUUUUGGAAAGAGACGACUUGAUAAAUAAAUGGCAUUAUCACAACUUAGGGGUGGUGAGCAAUCCCGUUAAAAUAGAACUUAAUAUAUACAUAUUAAAAACAAAAACAAAUUGAUGCAAAAUCUCCCAACGACUAAUACUAUUUCAAUUCAUGCAUGAAACAGACACAUUUGUCCUUUCAUGCUACUUGGUUAUAAGCAAACAUCAUGCAUUUAUUAAUACUAUUCCAAGUCAUGCAUGAAACCUACACAUUUGUCCGUUCAUGCCACUUGGUUAUAAGCAAACAUCAUGCACAAGUUGUUUACUAAUUAGCAUUACUACUAUUAGCAUGUAUCAUGACCGUUUUCUUUCUGUUAUUCAUAAGCCCAAGACAUUGUAAGAAAUAAUGUUGAUUAUUCAAAACGAAUCAACAACUAGUUGCAGUGAUACUUCCAACUUGAUAAAGAAAGGGAAAAAAAGGAAGUCGACUUCCAAACUAAAAUAAAAUGUAUAUAAAUAUAGAAAAUUGUUAUUAGCUGAAACACCCCAACCCCUUUUAUAUUUUAAAAAAUUGUUUUAAAGCCUUAAUUGGUGAGCCCGUGGGGCCCACCUUAUGAUUUUUUUUGGUUUUUCCCCGGUCUCUCUCCUCUUUCAGCUCUCUUUUCUACCUCACUCUCCCGUUUCUCUCUCUCGGACCUCAUCUCUCUCCCUCGCUGCAACUCUUUUCCCCGAUCAACACUCAGCCACGCCAUCUGCUGAGAACUCACCAUCUAAACCUCGUCCCUUUCCUCUUCCUCUUGCAUCUGCGCAACUUGGCGAAACCAAGAAAAUAACCUCCGGCGAGUCUGACGGCUUUCGAGGCCAUUUCCGGCCAAACCACGGCGAGUCGGCCGGCGUGCAAGGUAUCAAUCUCUUCGUCUUGUCGAGUACUAUAAUUUUCCUUUUCGUUUCACUCAAUUUCAUUGCGUAUUGAAGAAGUUAUACUCAUUUGGAUCUUACCCAGUUUCCGGAGACCUCCGAGGCUUUCGAGGCAAUUUCCGGCCAAACCACGGCGAGUUAGACGUCGUGUGAGGUAUCAUUCUCUUCGUCUCUUCUAGGGCUAUAACUUUCGUUUUUGUCUCGCUUGAUUUCGUUGAGUAGUGACAACGUUAUGGCCGUUUAAAGUGGGGUGGUUUUCCGGCCGAAUUUCCGGCCUUCUUCUUCGGCAAACUAGGCCCUUCAGGCCGUUUCUCAACCCACGGGCCUUAAGCCCGUAUUGCAUAAGCCCAAAGCCCUAGCCCAAUCCUUUUAAUUGUUUUUAUUUAUUUGUUAUUGGUUUAGGACCCAAAAGGCCUUCGGGCCAUUAGAUUUAGGGCCCGCAGCCCAUUAGUCCAACCCAAAAACCUUUUGAGGUUUUUAUUUAUUUCCUGUUUUAGAAUUAAGGCCUUGGGCCAAUUUGAAUGGGCUUUCAGCCCUUUCCCAAACCCUUUUAACUUAAGGGCCUUAAGCACUAAACCCUUUAACCUUAGGACCCUAAACCCAAAAAUCCUAGGUUCCUAAAAUCCUUUAAAACCCUAAACCCAUCCAAUCCCAAAUCCCCUAUUUUUAUUUAAACUCUAAACCCUAAUCCGGGUUCAAGCCUAAAACCCGUUUGACCUAGUUUGACCGUUGACCCCCGGUCAACGUUGACUUUAGGGUUGACUUUUCGGGUUUUCGUCCGGGACCCUUCUUAGGGUAAUUCGACGUUCUGGAUCCCUUUCCUGUCCGUUUUCCCAAAUUCAAUUGCUAUUAUAUAGUUUUAUUUAUUGGACUCUUUAUGUGCUUAGGGGGCAAUUAUUGUGACGUUUCCGUCUUCGCUAGUGGCGCAGCUUUUGGCAACUAAGUACUGUGAGUGGACCCCUUCUAAAAUUACAUGAUUUGAUAAUUUAAUUGCAUAAAUGAUUAGCAUGCCUACGGAUUUAUGAUUUGAUUUAUGUGAAGCCUGAUGAUUUAAAUAUAUUGAUUAUCGUCUCGUGUUUUGGUGAGGAAUUAAUUGUUAGCCUAUACUGAGCUAUAUUUCAAUAUAUCGUAUUUUCUAUAAAAACCAUGAACUGGUAGACUAUCUGACAGAUGACGAUAGGAUGCUAGAACAUGUUUUUGAACCCCUCUUUAUAGCGUAGACGAUAUUCGGUAACCUAUGCUAUGAAGUGGUUAUUUAAGAGAGACGUAACUAUUUGUGCGUACCUAGUGGACACUAUGCCGCCUGGGGCGAGGAUCUGGUGUUGGCAUGUAGGCCGGGAGAAAUAAUCCCUAGCGAAAGGCUGAGGGACACGGAGACAGGCAUUGGGCCGGGAGGGAGUUAUCUCUGGCUACGGGCACAGAGACUGAGGUGCAGGCAUUGGGCCGGGAGUUAUAUUUAUUCAGUGAUUUUUCUAGCAGCACACCGCGCUUACGAGACGAUUUACGAGACGUUUACUGUUUUGUUUUUCCGCAAUGUUAUUCCGCGAUAUGGCUUUUUGAGAUACUUUGGCAUGCUAGGAUUUUAUUAAAUCCAUCACUUAUUAUGCUAGUAGUUUUCAUUUAUAUAAACUUUGGGGGUUAGUAUCUUGAUAACUGUUUUAUUAUUAUUGUAUAUAUAAACUUGGUCCACUCACCUUUGUUUUGCGCCCCCAUUCAGGACUUAGAAUCAAGGCACCUAAUCCCGGCGUCAAGACACUUCUGCAGCAGCAUAUUCGGAUCCUCUCGAAUGUAGGACUCACUCCUUUAUUCAUUAAAUUUUAUCCUAAUUCUUCGUAGUGAUUAGGUUUAGUUGUAUGCUCUGAGCACGUUCCUAAACUGUUAAUUCAUUGUAUUUCAAAUUUCUAACCUUUAUUUAUUUCUUAUUCUUAGCUUUUGUAUCAAUUAAUGGCUUUCGUCACCUCCGGGUGUCGGCCAGCACGUGUCGGUCUUGGUAUUCGGGGAAUAUCAGGGUCGGGACGUGUCAUUAGCACUCCAAAAAUCUCAUUUGGCACUCCAAACUUUCUAUAAUUAGAAAGAAAAUUACACUUGUGCGAAUGUAGAAUAAGAUUUUUGGAGCGCUAAUAACAGUUCCCUAAAUAUGUCUUAACAAAUAUUGUACAUGGCAUUGACUUAGACUUUCGCAAAUAGACUUAUAAUUUUUGGUAUCUAAUAAAUAUCUAGAUUGAAAAUAGAUAUUUAUGAAUUUAAUCAUUAAAAUGCAUAAGCUCAAUUAUACAUUCAAGUUAGAUCAAUUCCUGAAGUUUUGGUCAACAAUAAAACUGUUUACCUAUGAGUUCACUUAUAAAACGUGCAAAGACGAUAUACUUUUUAACCACAGUUCUAUGUAUUGUGAAUAUUUGUCCGCAACUUUUGUGGCAUAUAGAGGCUAAAAGAUACUACGAUAUUAAAUCCAUAUAUGGUCGAAAUAUUUAUCAGUUUAAUCAUUAAAAUGCAUAAACUCAAUUACACAUCCAGGUUAGAUCAAUUCCCGAAGUUUUGCUCCACAAUAAAAACUGCUUAGCUAUGAGUUCGCCUAUAAAACAUACAAAGGCAAUAUACUUUUUAGCCACAGUUCAAUGUAAUGUGAAUUGUUGUUUGCAAAUUUUGUAUCUAAUAAAUAUCCACGGUUAAAAAUAUUCAUUGAUCUACCAAAAGUUAUCAUGGACGUACCUAUUUUUCUACCACAUAUAGGAAUAUAGAGGCUAGAAGAUUCUCAUUUAAUUGAAACAUACCAAACUCAUUAAACGCUCUAACCAGAAGCUCAUACCGAUUAUUAAGCUAAUUAGUGCUCUAGAAAUUUAGAGAUGUCAAAUGAUGAAGAAAAGGAAAAGGAAGAGGUUUGGAUGACUACGAAUGAGUAGAUGGGGGUGCAAAAUGACAAUCAUGGGAGAUGGAAGGAUUUUUUAAAGAGAGAGAGAAGGGGAUUUGCUCCAUGGAGAUGAUGGACUGGUUAGCAUUUUAUUUUUUAUUUUUAAGUAGAUUGAGUUAGGUGUAAAAAGAAGUUUGAUUGAGUUGAGUUUUGAUAAGUAAGGGCGGUUUCAAAAAUAAUGUUGGGUGUAAAUAGAUAAUGAUAGAUAAAUCAAAUACAAUGUGGAUACAAAAAGUAAGAUGUGUGUUGAGAUACAAAAUAUGGGUUCAAAUAAAAUUUCCCAAACUCUCUCACGGUCAAGUUAGUGAAUGAUUUUGGACUUAAGCAGUGGACAAGAGAAUUCAAGUGUUUAGAUUGUGUUAUCGGAGAUGAACCCUAUAUGGGUGUAUUUAUAUAGAGAGACAUUUUUAGGAUUGAAAAUAUCUAGGAAUAGAUCUUGCAUUGUGAUUACUUGCCGCACUCGCUAGUCCCUAGAUUGUUGGAAAUUCAAGACUUAAAGAUCUAAUGGUGUCCAUAUCUGGAUCAAAGCAUGGUUAUCUAGCGGAGUCGUAAAGACUCCGAUUGGUGCCCUGGAAUCGGAUAAUGGUGGCAUCACUAUCCAUCUGAUACAACUCCGUCCGCAACUGAUGAAUCCAUAACCGGACUUCUGAAGUAACUGUAUUCAGAUCAGCUUCAUUCUAAAAAAUCAUCGUCCACAAUUAUCUCUAACCAUUCAUUUGAAAGGCAAUCUGAUGCCCUUGAUGAUGGAUUGUUAUCCAAAGGCCAUUUGUUUUGCUCGACUGCGUUCACAUCAUUUGUUAGGCUGUCAGCCAUUAAAGCUUCUGACCCAAUGUAGCUUUUCGACAAAGACCCAAAAUUUCCAAAUGAGCUCUGAAUAUUUCAAUUCUGGAGCUUUAGUGUUCUGGGCUUCUUCUGCAACGGGGUCUUGCAAAGAAACAUGGUGUAUUUGCAUAGAGGUUCGUGACUGAAAUUGCAGUGAAGGAAAACUGAGUCUGUGGGUGUUAAUUGCAGAGCUUUUAAGUUGGAAAUUAGUCGGGGAAAAAGAAGGGGAGAGCGGGAGGGAGUUUGGGGGUUGUGGAAGAGAGAAGAUGGUGGAGCACAUGUGGUAAGCCAUUUCCCUCUCUGAAAUUGGGUUGACUCACUUUUGCCUUUAUAUUCAUAAUGUAUAGAUCGGAGUGUUCGUCAACUCGGGCCACAACCAACUAGAUGACCAACUGGACCGGAGUUGCUUGCAGCAGAAUUGGUGGGACUCGACGAGUUGUUUCUCUUGAUCUUUCCGAAUUUAGACUCACUGGCUCUAUAUGUUGGUAUAUGGUCCAGCCCAUGAUCAAUGUUCUAGAUUAUUCUAGUAAGCAAGAGAUGAGGCUGGAGCUUGCUAGACAAUUCUAGCAUGUUAUUAAGUUGAUGGAAGAAGCUAGAGAGUACUAGCUUCCUUGGUUGCAAAUGGAAAGAUCUAGAAGCUACAAGUAUGUGGCUAGUCUAGAUUUUUCUAUACUAGAGGUUUGAAGAAGGAACUAGAAACUAGUAGAAUGCCAAGCCCUCACCUAUAAAUAUGGGUGUGAUGUAACCAAUAGAGAACUAAGAGUGAGUAGCAAAGGAUCAAGUCCAAAGCUAGAGUUCCACUCCAAGAGUGAGAGUGAGAGUGUUCCACUACACAUUGUGUGAGUGAAGUUUAGAGUGAUAGAAAGUGUGUGUUAUACUUUCUUGUAUCCAUCAAGCCUUGUCUUUGGCUUGGUAAGACUACUCUUAUUGUAUUCAUCUUUUUCAUAUAGUGAAGAUUCCUUGUUUGGUGGACGUAGGCAUAAAUUGCCGAACCACAUAAAUUGUUGGCGUCCAUUUUCUACUUUACCUUGUGCAUUCUCUAUCUUGUAGUACCGACAUUCCUAACAAGUGGUAUCAGAGCCCGGUUGGCUCGUACUGCGAGAUGGAAGGAAGUGGCACUAUGAUCAAACUCACCAACUCCAAUUGGGUAACAUGGAAGCCAAGGAUGGAGGACAUUCUCUAUUGCAAGGAUCUGCAUGAGCCAAUUGAAGGAGAUGCCGCUAAGCCAGAGAGCAUGUCCGAUGCCGAGUGGAAGAAGAUGAAUCGCAAGGCUAUUGGCACAAUUAGACAAUGGGUGGACGAUAGUGUUUUUCACCAUGUGUCUAAUGAAACCAAUGCUCGCGAGUUUUGGACAAAGCUUGAGUCCUUGUUCGAGAAGAAGACUCCAGCUAAGAAAGCCUUCUUGAUCAAAGAGCUCAUCAAUGUGAAGUACAAUGAUGGUUUAAGUGUAGCAGAACACUUGAACAAUUUCCAGAAUAUCAUCAACCAGUUGGCUACUAUGAAAAUGACAAGCGCUCUUGUUACUUGGAUCCUUGCCAGACAGUUGGGAGACCUUUGUGGUGAGUAUAAGUAACUCUGCUUCUAAUGGUGUUCUUACCCUUGAUAAUGUUAAAAAUAGCAUGCUCAAUGAAGAAACAAGGAGAAAGACUUCUGGCACAGAUAGCAGCCAAGUAUUUGUCACAGAGAACCGCGGAAGAAGCAAGAGUAGAGGGCCUAGAGGUCAUGGCAGGAGUCCUAGCCGAUCCAAGUCAAGGUUCAGGGGUGCAUGCCACCACUGUGGCAAGGAAGGCCAUAUGAAGAAAAAUUGUCGAGUUUGGAAGAGAGAGCAAAGGGAAGGAAACAAUCAGAAGAAAGAUGAUACUGGCAAUACCACUGCUGUCAUAUGUGGUGAUGUACCAGAAAUAUUGUCUGUUGGUGAAUGUCUGCAUAUGGGCAACUCUGACAGAGACAUUGAAUGGAUCUUUGACAAUGGAGCUUCCUUUCAUGCUACGUCCAAACGGGAGUUCUUCAGUACAUACAAAGAAGGUGACUUUGGCAUAGUGAAGAUGGGGAAUGAAAGCUAUUCCAAAAUUCUUGGAAUUGGUGAUAUAUGUCUAAGAACUAAUCUCGGCUGCCAAUUGAUGUUGAAAGAUGUGAGACAUAUUCCUGAUAUACGUCUCAAUCUGAUAUCCAUCGGUACCCUUGAUCGACAAGGAUAUUAUCACCAUAUUGGCGAAGGAAAAUUGAAGCUUACCAAAGGCUUAAUGGUGGUAGCAAGAGCACGACUUUGUUGUACGUUGUACCGGUCAAAUGCCAAGGUUUUGAAAGGUGAGUUGAAUGCUGUGGAGGACUCAUCUCUAGACUUAUGGCAUAAGAGGCUAGGCCACAUAAGCGAGAAAGGCCUACAAGUUUUGGCAAAGAAGUCUCACAUUCCCUUUACCAAAGGAACGUCGUUAAACUCUUGUGAGCAUUGUUUAUUCGGAAAACAAAGAAGAGUUAGUUUUUCUGUUCCAUCUACAAAGAAAGGAAACUUGUUAGAUCUUGUUUAUUCAGAUGUGUGUGGUCCCAUGGAAGUCGAGUCACUUGGAAGAAAUAAAUAUUUUGUUACUUAUAUUGAUGAUGCUUCACGAAGGGUGUGGGUGUAUUUGUUGAAAACCAAAGACCAGGUGUUUCAGACAUUCCAGGAGUUCCAUGCCAUGGUGGAGAGGGAAACUGGGAAACCUCUCAAGUGCCUUCGUAGCGACAACGGCGGCGAGUACACAUCUCACCAGUUUAGAGAGUAUUGUGUAAAACAUGGCAUACGUCAUGAGAAGACAGUUCCUGGAACUCCACAACAUAACGGUGUUGCUGAAAGAAUGAACCGAACCAUCAUGGAGAAAGUCAGGUGUAUGUUGAGGACUGCAAAGUUAUCUAAGCAGUUCUGGGGUGAAGCUGUAAGGAUAGCCUGCUAUUUGAUCAACCGAUCUCCAUCAGUGCCAUUAGGUCUUGAUGUUCCAGAGAGAGUAUGGACUGGUAAUGAUGUGUCUUACUCUCAUCUGAAGGUGUUUGGUUGCAAAGCUUUUGUGCAUGUGCCCAAAGAGCAGAGAUCGAAGUUAGACUACAAAGCUACACCGUGCAUCUUUCUUGGUUAUGGCGGUGAAGAUUUUGGUUACAGAUUAUGGGACCCAUACCAGAAGAAGUUUAUCCGAAGUAGAGACGUGGUCUUUUAUGAAGAACAAACAAUUGGGGAUUCGGAUAAAGAGGCACAACCAGAUGGCGCAGUCAGAGGAGUUGAUCCAUUAGCUUCAGAUGAAGAAAGUCACGAUGACAUCCCUGAAGCAACUGCCAAUGAAGUGCCUGCAGAACCAGAUAAUGCUGAUCAGGGGGAGCCUGAUCAAGAUGUGCCAGACCAUGAGAUUGCUGAUCAGGUGGAGCCUAGUCAAGAAGAGCAGAUUCAAGGAAAACCCAAUCAGGGGGAGCCUUCAGCCCUACAAGAGAAUGAAGAUCAGGUCAGAAGAUCCAUCAGAAAUCGAAGACCGUCUACCAAGUAUUCUUCAUCAGAGUAUAUCAUGUUGACUAAUUAUGGAGAGCCUGAAACAUAUGAGGAGGCCAGAGCUCAUAACGACAGUGACAAAUGGAUGAAGGCAAUGGAGUCGGAGAUGGAUUCCUUAUCAAAGAAUGAUACCUAUGAGCUGGUGGAGCUUCCAAAGGGCAGGAAAGCAUUGAAAAACAAGUGGGUGUUCAAAUUGAAAAGAGACGACAACAUGACAAGGUACAAGGCUCGUUUGGUUGUCAAAGGUUUUGGUCAAAAGAAAGGAGUUGACUUCGAUGAGAUUUUCUCACCGGUGGUGAAGAUGACUUCCAUUUGAGUUAUCCUUGGUAUGGCAGCAAGUAUGGAUCUUGAGCUCGAGCAGUUAGAUGUUAAAACUGCAUUUCUCCACGGAAAUUUAGAAGAGGAGAUAUACAUGGAGCAACCCAAAGGCUUUGAAGUCAAAGGUAAAGAAAAUUUGGUGUGCAAGCUCAAGAAAAGCUUAUAUGGUCUUAAGCAGGCUCCGAGACAGUGGAAUAAGAAGUUCAACUCAUUCAUGGUGAGUAAUGGGUACAAGAGAACUCAUGCUGACUCUUGUGUCUAUAUCAAACAAUUUUCUGGAGGUAAAUUCAUCAUCUUAUUGCUUUAUGUUGAUGACAUGUUGAUUGUCGGACAAGAUACCUCUAUGAUUAAAAAGCUCAAAGAAGAGUUAUCUAAGUCCUUUGACAUGAAGGACUUAGGGCCAGCCAAGCAGAUUUUGGGCAUGGAUAUAAUUCGUGACAGAAAAUCCAAAAAGUUGUGGUUGUCACAAGAAAAGUAUGUUGAACGGGUGCUUGAAAGGUUCAACAUGAAAGCAGCCAAAUCGGUAAGCUCACCUUUAGCCAAUCAUAUCAAGUUGAGCAAAGAGUCGUGUCCAAAAACAUAUGAAGAAAAGGAGAAAAUGGCAGUUGUUCCAUACUCUUCAACAGUAGGAAGUAUCAUGUAUGCAAUGGUGUGCACACGGCCAGAUAUUGCUCAUGCAGUAGGUGUGGUGAGCAGGUUUCUCUCUAAUCCAGGGAAUGACCACUGGGAAGCUGUUAAGUGGAUUCUCAGAUAUUUGAAGGGGACUUCUAAGAUGUGCUUGUGCUUUGGCGGUUCCAAACCAAUCUUGGAAGGAUUUACAGAUGCUGACAUGGGAGGUGACCUGGAUGGUAGAAAAUCUACAUCUGGGUACUUGUUCACUUUUGCCGGGGGAGCCGUGUCUUGGCAAUCCAAGUUGCAAAAGUGUGUUGCUUUGUCCACAACCGAGGUUGAAUACAUAGCCGCUACAGAAGCAUGCAAGGAGUUGUUGUGGCUGAAGCAGUUUCUCCAAGAGUUGGGUUUGAAGCAAAGUGAUUACGGCAUUUAUUGUGAUAGUCAGAGUGCUCUGGACUUGAGCAAGAACACUACAUAUCAUUCACGCACUAAGCACAUUGAUAUUCGUUAUCACUGGAUUAGAGACGCUAUCGAGAACAAGUUGCUGCAGCUGAAGAAGAUUCAUACUGAUAAUAAUUCUUCAGACAUGUUGACAAAAGUAGUCACAAAAUCAAAGUUGGAAUUCUGCAUUAAAGCUGCUGGGAUGAACUCCAGGUAACUUGGAGUCAUGAUCGGAAUUCCUCCCUCAUGGACUGGAGGGGGAGAUUGUUGGUAUAUGGUUCAGCCCAUGAUCAAUGUUCUAGAUUAUUCUAGUAAGCAAGAGAUGAGGCUGGAGCUUGCUAGACAAUUCUAGCAUGUUAUUAAGUUGAUGGAAGAAGCUAGAGAGUACUAGCUUCCUUGGUUGCAAAUGGAAAGAUCUAGAAGCUACAAGUAUGUGGCUAGUCUAGAUUUUUCUAUACUAGAGGUUUGAAGAAGGAACUAGAAACUAGUAGAAUGCCAAGCCCUCACCUAUAAAUAUGGGUGUGAUGUAACCAAUAGAGAACUAAGAGUGAGUAGCAAAUGAUCAAGUCCAAAGCUAGAGUUCCACUCCAAGAGUGAGAGUGAGAGUGUUCCACUACACAUUGUGUGAGUGAAGUUUAGAGUGAUAGAAAGUGUGUGUUAUACUUUCUUGUAUCCAUCAAGCCUUGUCUUUGGCUUGGUAAGACUACUCUUAUUGUAUUCAUCUUUUUCAUAUAGUGAAGAUUCCUUGUUUGGUGGACGUAGGCAUAAAUUGCCGAACCACAUAAAUUGUUGGCGUCCAUUUUCUACUUUACCUUGUGCAUUCUCUAUCUUGUAGUACCGACAUUCCUAACACUAUAAGCCACCAUGUUGGUGGCUUGACAAUUCGAUGAUGAUGAUGAGCGGUGGAGACGGAGGACUAGAAACUUCGAUGAUGAUGAGUAUAUUUAGAGAUAGGGAUUUUACUUGGAAAAGGGAAGGGCAGAGAACGAAGAAUCAUGAACUUUAGUAUAAAUGGUAUUAUAGUAUUUUUAUGUGAAAUUUUUGUAAGCCCCCUCUCAAAAACUCGACCUCUGAUGUCCAUCGGACGUCAGACGACGGCUGGGCAUGGCUGCACCUUUUACGGCCUUCCGAGGGCUUUCUAACAGUUUUGGCUUUUUUCUUUCAUUUUUGGAUUUCGUCGCAGGUAUAAACUUUCAUCUCUUGUCGAUAUCUUGCUACCUGUGAAGUUUGGUUUUUGACGAAAAACUGAGUUUCUGCUUACUGGAAACCAUCGCGCAUGGCGGCACAUGUGGUGGUGUAUGGGCAACUCUAGUGACAUGGAUUUUGGAUAGAUGUUCUUGAUGCCCCAAAGCCUAUAUCCAAGGGCCGUUUGUUGAGAUUCGAAGCGAUAGUUAAUUAUUCAAUUUUUGAAUUAAUUGUAUCGUCGUUCAAUUUUCACAAUUGACAUCGUUGGAUCGUCGUGCAAUUUUACGAGUAUGCUAUUUAUUGAUUGUCGAUCCUUUGUUAACUUGUGGAAUGGAAAUCCAACGUUUGGAUCUUUCAUACUGAAGAAUCUAGUGUAGAAUUUCACGCUGAAACUCAAAACUCAAAACUCGCUUCAUAUUGCCUUGUUUCCCUAAAUUUAUUAAACAUCCAUUAAAUUUGCUUAUGUGGCUUUAAAUUCUAUGAAAUCAAUGGAAUUUUAUAUUUUUAUUGGAUUAAUAUUUUGGUUUGUCGUUACUGUUUGAUUUGAUUAAUAAUUUGGCCCCAUUUUCAUAAAAUUAGUUUUGUUUUACAUCUACAUUUUUUUAAUCCACAUCAGCAUAUAUGACAGUUUUUUAACGAAAUUGGCAAAAACAAAGCAAUCUGGAGCAAAUUUUGAGUUUCACGGACUAGGUGGAAUCUACUAUAUAAAUCAUAUAACACAACUAUGCUCAAUUUUACAUCAAGUUUUUUUUUAACUCCAAGUACUCCAUAUAUUUUCUUAAAUUAUCCAUAAGAAUUAUAUACUACAUUAACUAAAAACUGACCACUAUAGUAAUAUUAUUAUCCUAAGAUAGCUAGUAAAUUUAUUUAUUCACUUAAAUUAUAAUUCGGUUGAUGCACGCUAUAUAAAAUUGAGAGCUUUAAUGAAAAUGGCUUGAGUGAAGUUUAAUUUAAUCAAAAAUCAUCUUAUAUUAUUAUUUAACCAAAAAUACUUUAGAUUUAAUCAUAAGGACACAACUAAUCUAUAUGAAAUCCCACAAACAUUAAAACUACAUGGGCUGAAUUAAAAGCCCAAAACAGAAUAUUUUCAGCGCUUGCCCCUAACAGAAACCCAUUCCGUCAGCCGAUCCCGUUAAAAAAACUAUACAACAUUUCAAGCGAACAACAAAAGGCAAAUAUUUCAGUUAAUUAAAUCCCACCCCGCUCUAAACACCUCACUCGCCAUCGCGGUCUCCCACCUCGCUCGAUUUGCCGUGAUUUGCCGAGAGAAACAAUCCCCUGAAUCUCACAGUCGAUCUCGUCUGCUUGUUCCAGGUUCGAUCAGAUCUUUGUCUCUUUGCUACAGACUUUAUUAUUUAUUUAAUUAAAUCCCGUGUCAUUCUAUUUGUUAGAUGGUAGUUUCCAAAAAGUUUUUGAAAAUUUUAUGGUUUUUUUUGUUUGUUCAUUUAUGGAUGAAUUGAUGGACUGGGUUGUGGUUUAUAUUUAUAUUUGUGAUUAGAUAUGGAUUUCUUUAUGAACUGCAUAUGGGUUUAUUCUGUUGAUUUGAGCUCCGAAGGACUGAAAAUCCCAGAAAGAUUCAUGAGACACAUGGAAGGCAGAACAUCGGGGUUAGUUUCGUUGUUCGACCUUAGCGGCAGUGCGUGGAGCGUUGAAUUGAUUCAAUAGAAUGUUGGUUUGUUCUUGCAUCAUGGGUGGUCGGCAUUUGUGAGAGACCAUUACGCAUUUGAUGAGGCCUGGUGCGGAUGUUGUUUUAUUUAAGGUAAAGGCAUCGAUCCAAAAUAUGUGUGGAAAAAGAGAUGGAUUCAAUGUUAACAGUAGAACUUGUUUGCAGAUGUCAUCAACACAUGAAGUAGCUCCAUCGUUUAGUCCUCUAAGUUCUAUUCCGCUUGUUACUCGUCCAGCCUUUCUCUUUGAUUGUACUCAAACGGAUUGCCCCAGGGGGGUUUUUCUUUUUAAUAUAGUUUUUUAUUUUCUAUCCAAAAAAAAAAACAGCCUAAAUUUUAAUGAAAAUGAACACCAACUAUCACUAUUUCUUAAAGUGGGCACUGAUUAUUUCUUAAACUGAACACUGGUACUAUCAUUAUUUUUUAAACAGAACACGAACUAUUUCUAGAAUUGAACAUUGACUAUUUCUUAAACUGAACACUGCUACUAUCAUUAUUUUGUAAACUGACCACUAACUAUUUCUAGAACUAAACACGAUACUAUCACUAUUUCUUAAAGUUAGCACUAACUAUUUCUUAAAUUGAACACUGCUACUAUCACUAUUUUGUAAACUGAACACUGGUACUAUCAUUAUUUCUUAAACAUAACACACACUAUUUUUAAAAUUGAACAUUGAGUAUUUCUUAAACUGAACACUGGUACUAUCAUUAUUUCGUAAAUUGACCACUAACUAUUUCUAGAACUAAACACGAUACUAUCACUAUUUCUUAAAGUGAGCAUUGCCUAUUUCUUAAACUGAACAUUGGUACUAUCAUUAUUUCGUAGACUGACCACUAACUAUUUCUAGAACUAAACACGAUACUAUUACUAUUUCUUAAAGUGAGCACUAACUAUUUCUUAAACUGAACAUAGACUAUUUCUAGAAUUGAACAUUGACUAUUUCUUAAACUGAACACUGGUACUAUCACUAUUUCAUAAACUAACCACUAACUAUUUCUAGAACUAAACACGAUAAUAUCACUAUUUCUUAAAGUAAGCACUGACUAUUUCUUAAACUGAAUACUGGUACUAUCACUAUUUCGUAAACUGAACACUGAUUGUUUCUAGAACCAAACACGGGUAUUAUCACUAUUUCUUAAACUGAACACUAACUACUUCUUAAACUGAACAGAGUGCAAAGUGAGCAUCUUUUGUAAUUGGUUGGGUCCCCAUCCCUUCUCCCUCACCAUCCUAUUAUAGGAAAUGAUUGUAGAGUGCAAAGUGACAUAUAAAUAAUUAUGAUUCAAUUUUAGAGGAGCUACAAAGCCACACCAAACAACUUUUCUUACAACAAAAUGGUAUGACUGAUAACUCAAAUUUUUUUACCUUCACUCAGCAACAUCCUGCAAGUGCAGGAAAACCAAAAGUAUAUUGAAAGAUAAAAAUCUUCAUAUGUGCAAAUAAAUCAAGUGAAUAAUCAUUAAUCACAAAUGCUGAGAAAUGAAAAUAUAUAUACCCGCAACAUGAUUUCUAGCUUUCUCUAAUUUAUCAAGAGCAGCAUUUCUUGGCUUUCCAUGCUCAUCUUGGCUCUCAGUGCCGUCUUGGCUUUUCCUUUUCAGUAUCCCGUUCCUCGUCCUUAGAAGAUUCUUCUGAGUCCUCAGCAACUUGCAUGUCGACAAGGCUUUUUGCUACCGUCUGAGCAACCACAGCUGCCUACAUCCAAAAAUCGCCACUUCACAAACUAAACCACAAAAUGCAGCAAACCUACACUCUUCUAUUUGGACUAAAAACAUAAAUCUUUGCAUAGUUUAUAAUUAAACUGCCACAAGCAAACAAAAACAUAUACAUGCAUGUAAUCAGAUUACGGCACCAAACUCUUAAUAACUUAAACCUACUUUGAGAUUCGCAAUCUAAAACAGUUAAUUAACUCUGCAAUUAUCAAACACCACCAAAAACACUAAUCAACAUUUCCCAAACUUAUAAACUCUAAUUCCCAAAAUACACCAAAUCAAGUUGCAUAUUCAAAUACAUUUAUCAAACGCUGGAGAUUUGAGAAGACGGACGAAAAGCCCCAACCUCCCUAUCCUUCGCUUCUUUCCGAAGCGAGAUCUGCGUAUAUUGUUCACAUGCAUCAGGAUUUCAAUUGCAUUUUCCAGAGUUGUUGGGGUUGUCGAUACGUGUGUUGGAAUUGUGAUGAAAUUAACGAAAGGCUCUAAAUCUAUAAACCUUCUCUCUCUCUCUCUCCAUCUGAAGCGAAACGAACCAACGGACAAGACUUAACGUCAAGGGUAAAAUCGAAAGCUCGAUAUAUUAUAUUUUUUGGGCUGGCUUGAUAUUGGAUUUUGUACUAACCAUUAAAUAAAGUUCUUACAUGAUUUUUGAUUAAAAUUCAAAGUAUUGAAGACAUUUUCAUUAGUUUUCCUUAAGUUAUUUUGAUUCACUUUCAGAAAUAGUGUUGGUUAUUUUGUUGUGGUUUUAGAUAUAAUGUUUAUUUUGUUACCUUUUAGAAAUAGUGUGGGUUAUUUUAGUCUAAUUUUAGAAAUAAUGUGAGUUAUUUUGUUGUAGUUCUAGAAAUAGUGUGAGUUAUUUUCGUUUAGUUUCAGAAAUAGUAUGAGUUAUUUGUUGUAGUUUCAGCAAUAAUGUGGAUUAUUUUGGGCCAGUUUAAAAAAUUGUGUGAUUAUUUUGGUGUAGUUCCAAAAAUAGUGUGAAUUAUUUUGGUUCAAUUUUAGAAAUACUGUGAUUAUUUGACUGUAGUUUCAAAAAUAGUGUGAAUUAUUUUUGUUCAGUUUCAGAAAUAGUGUGGUUAUUUUGUUGUAGUUCCAGAAAUAGUAUGAGUUAUUUUGGUUUACUUCCAGAAAUAGUGUUAGUUAUUUUACUGUAGUUUAAAAAAUAAUGUUUAUUUUGUCCCCUUCCAAAAAUAAUGUGCGUUAUUUUGGUUCAGUUUCAGAAAGAGUAUGAGUUAUUUUGCUAUAAUUCAAGAAAUAGUGUGGGUACUAUACUAUUUAUGAAACUGAACACGGGUACUAUACUAUUUAUGAAACUGAACACGGGUACUAUACUAUUUAUGAAACUGAACACAAAUACUACACCAUUUAUGAAACUGAACACAUUAUUACACUAUUUAUGAAACUGAACACAGAUACUACACUAUUUAUGAAACAAAACAUUGGUAAUAUCACUAUUUCUUAAAUCGAACACUGACUAUUUCGGAACUGAACAUGGGCACCAUACUAUUUCUGAAACUGAACAUUGGUGUUACACUAUUUAUGAAAAUGAAUGCUGGUACUAUCACUAUUUCUUAAACUGAACGCUAACUUCUAAAACUGAAUAUGAAUACUAUGCUAUUUCCAAAACUAACAAAGACAUGAUCAGACACCUAGCUAGGAUUCGAAUACAAUUUUCCACAUACUUCCAAGAUGGCUUGGAUAGACUCUAUAUAUAAUUAAUUGCUAAUUAUAAUAGCAUCAGCAAAACCUUGUUUAUAAGUUGUCAUAGCACUCACCAAAAUAAACUCGUACUUUUCAACUUGUCUUUCUCAAAAGACUAAAUGAUAAUUAGUUUCAAAUGUGGACCAUCUCCAUAUGGCUUUUGGUUAAAAAGAUGUGGUUUAUGAUAAGUAGAAAGCUAGCUUUCUCUAUUGGCAGCCUCUUUACAAUUUCAUAUUUGUAUUUUAUAAUAAUAAAAAGAUGUGCUUCCCCUCUUGAUAAUUGGGCUCAUCUUUAACUUCAAGAUCAACCAAGUUUGCUUCCAUAUCGUAGACCUCCUUGCGAAUGAUGGUGCCAUUCUUGUAGUUGGAAUUGUUGGUGUAGCGGAGCUACGUCGUCGGGUCGAAACUCGAACUCUAGGAACUCGUGGCCGAACUUGCCCUUGUGGCCGACGUAGUACCUCAGGUAGAACUCGUUGGUCUCUUCCUCUCCGGCUAUCUCCGUCUCUCUCGCUUGCUUUUUUCUCUCUUCCUUCAUCCUCAAAGGCUCCUAAUAUGGUGAUUCGAAAAAAUGGUGGAAUUCGAAUGGAAUGGAAAAUGAAAACAGAGAUGUGGAGAGAUCGAGAGAGAGGUAGAGAGAUCAAUUCGAUUACAAAAAUGGAGGAAUUGUUUAUGUGCAGAGGAGAGAUCAAGAUUAGGCAGAGAGAUUGAGAAGGGAGAUCGAGAAAUAGGGAUUACGUGGAAAGACUGAGAAAUGGAGAGAGGAUCAACGGGAAAUGAUUUGCUGUUAAGGGUAAAACUGGAAACUUAUUUCUUGGGCUAAUCUUACUGGGCUGGUUUGAUGUUGGGCUUUGUCCUAACCAUUAAAUAAAUUUAUUAUCUGGUUUUUUAUUAAGAUUCAAAAUUUUAAAGCUCUUUUCAUUAAUUUUCCUUAUAAAAUUAUCUCUAACUUUUUCUGCAGGGGCAAAUUGACGCCAAAAGAAAAAUAUUGAAGCAGCAUGUAGAUGCCCCCUCAAUUAAAAACUUCUUGUGGCUGUCAUCUGCAGCUUUAGCUAUCAAAUAAUCAAAGACAUCGUGCAAUAUUUGCAGAACUCUGAGAUUAUUGCUCUAAUAUUUGUACACAUGUAACACAAAUGUCUUGUGAAAAGAUAGAGAAAUUUGCAGAGAUAAUACCUGAAGAGACCUAUAUGUAUAUAUUUUUCUGCUCGUAUCUUUUCCUUCCAAUCUAGAACUACGAAUGUUUACAGACAGGUCAGUAUUUAGGAGCAUGCCUUUGAGGUAUCGACAUGAAGAUAGAGUAAAUUGUGCCUACUGGUUUGAUAUUAUGUGUUUGUUUUGUUGAGCAGUUGUUGAUGGGGAUAUAAAAAGACCACAGGAUGAAGACAUACAAUCCAAUGUUCUUGAAAUAGUUGGGUCGAACAUCCAGUCCACAUGCAUUACUUGCCCAACGGACCCAUCAGCUACACUGAGUAUAAAACUUCCGUUCCUGGUUAUGAUUGUAAAGAAUCUGAAGAAAUAUUGCACAUUUGAGAUUCAAAUUCUGGAUGACAAGAAUGUCAGGCGACGUUUUCGAGCUUCCAAUUUUCAAGUGUGCAAGUUUGCCCGUGUUUAUUGAUGUUUAUCAACUGCCUAAUGGGUUGAUCUUGUUGUUCUCUGUUUUCUUCUUUUCUUUUCUAUUUGGUAUUUCAGUUCAGGGAAUAUUCUGGUACACGAUAAUGCUUCUUAUGUUUUUGUAUAAAAGAUAUGUAUGUGUGUGUGUGUGUGUGUGUGUGUGUGUAUUUCGCAUACAAGUCUAACCGUUUAUGUUUGUCUUUUGAGAUUCAUUUGGCAUAAAAUUGGUCCUGUUGCAUUCUUACUUCUUUGUUAAUAUUAUUCAUGACUGAAAAUGGUAGGUAAAGUUUUGGACUAGUACCAGUAGGAGUUCUGGUGAACGUUUACUGAAUAGGCACAAUUUCAGAUAAAACUAAAAGUGCAGGAUCUUUUUCUUUUAGGACAAUCUGUGAACAUUUCAACAAAUAUUCAUGGAAGGUAUGUGCACAGUUAAUGUAGUGAAAGACGACGGAGCUUUACCUUCAGAUCGAUACGUUCUCCCACUUUAUUUAUUUCCACAUCAAAUUGUGAAAAUCUUGUUUCUUCUCAUCCGUUUCGAGAAGAUGCCAACACAAGUGCUUUCCUUUUUCAUACCCCAGCUCAACAUACACGAAUACUCCUAAAUUCAAAUAUGGUGAAAUUAUAAACAAUUGAUUGAUCUUAUAAAACAUGCAUGAGGAAACAAUUCUGUUUAUUUAUUUAGUGAUCUUAUAAACGAUUGAUCGAUCUUAGACAAGUUGUUUAUUUAUCAACUUUUCAUAAACUGAAGAAACAAAAGUGAAAUGGAACCCAAUUUUUGUUAUCUGCAGUGUUCAAUAAAAGAAAUAUCGUUCCUGUGAAAUGUGUAGUGCAGCAACCACCCACCUGUUCUAGUAACAUAAUGUACUGACUUCCAACAAACGCAAGCAUGAGGGCAGUGCUGCAAAGAAACCUGUCUCUCCUUUUUUUUUUCUUUUUUUUUUCUUUUUUUUUUUGUGGUCAUCAUCACCUGUUCUCACUUCAACAGCUGUGUAUGUACAAAAAGAACAUAUCUGCACCCACUCGAAGAUGGCAGCAACAUGAAGAGAAGAUGAAAAGGCAUGUUGCUUGUAUUGAAAAUAAAGCAGUAUAAGAGUAGAACAUCAUUCCAGGGGUUACCUAUCCAAUUGGAGGAGAACCGUAUUGAUACCACACUGCAAGGAGAACCAUUCAUGGACAACUAAUUGAUGGACACUAAAAUCGUUGGCUUUAGAUAAUCCAAUAUUUACAGUUCCACAGUUUGCUAUCCAUAUCAGCAAAGCUGAGAAACAGGGUAGUUUUAACAUCUCAAAUGUUAAAACAUGAAAAGCAUUUCAACCAAAUGGAAAAACAUCUCAAAUGUUGAGCCUUAACAAUAGUUUUAACAUCAAUUAUAGAAAGCGAGAAGCGUAAUUGAAAGGAUGAAGAUGUUAGAAAUGGGAAUUUACCUUCCGGUAUCAUGGCCAUAGCAUUGACAACCUCUGUGGGAGCGUCAGCAGCCUCACUUCUGAGUACUGAAACAAUGGAGUCCGACUCUGAAAUCGGGACAGCAUUACCACUCCCUGUUGGCACCAAAAGAUGCUUGCCUCAAAGAUUGCCAUAUGACCUUAUUCUUUGGUAAAGCAAACCUUUCACGUUGGAGUCGAUGGACAGAUCUUUUAUUUUGCUCCUCAAUCCAUUGGCGUCCUGGACGAAAGACCGAAAAGAUCUCGUCACUCAUAACGCAGUAAACAGGACAAUUACAAAGUUAUAAUUUGCAUAUUAUGUAUCUUCUAUUUACUUUAGUGUUAAGAACCUCAUCACAAAGGAAAUUCAAAAGCCUAAGCUUUUGGGAGAAGCUUAAGGCAUCAUAUCCAUCCCCGCCUCCACUAAAACACUCUACGGGCAACACUGCGGCAGCUCCUUCAUAACGGGGUCGACCUUAGAGAGUUCACCAAAUCUUGGAACCAUGAGCAGUUGGUGCUUGCUUGCUCUAGAGACAUAACUGAAAAUAAAGUUGGCAUAAACCACAUGUAUUAUUUUCACAAUUAAAGCUUACUAAAAGUACUUUACACAUAACUAUAAUACACUAGGUAGAGUUCUUUCUCCUGUAUGAAGAAAAACAUAUAGCUAUGAAAUCGAACAAUGGAAAACUGAUCAGGCCGUCCACUUCGUCCACGCGAGAGUUCUCAAAGAACAGGUUCAGCUUGGGACUUUUCAAUUUAAAAAAAAAAAUAGAGUAAAAAGAAACAAGAAAAGAAAAUGGGAUUUCAAGUGACUUGGAAGUCCAGGAAUGUUUUAGCACCCCAAAAAAGGGUGAACAAAAUCAAUUAAAAGAAGUUUAGAGCAACAUUUCAAUCAAAUAUAUAAUAGAACAACAGUAAGAAUUACCCCUCUAAAUGUUUCACAGAACUUACAAAAAUUGGAGAUCAUUCCCCACAUCCUCAGCAGCUAAUGGUGCCCUGAGGUAGGGGAAGAUCUAGAUCAACCCCUCUGCUAUCAAUCCGGCGUUCUUUGACCCUGCGACACGCUCCUGCAGCCUUGCCCUUGCCCUUGGCAUCAUUCUGAUUCACAGCACCACCAUCAUCUCUGCUGCUUUACAAGUUUCCAUCAACUCGUCCUGCUUUGCUGCAUCCGAGUACUUUACAUCUUUGCUCAGAAGAGAAUGCUCUUUUGGAAUAAUUGUGUAUUCUAUUCAUCUCUCAAGGAGGGGUUUAUAUGAUGUUACAAUUCUAUCAACAAGGAAAGAAAUAAUUUACAUAAAAUCAUAUUAAACUAAGAAUCCCAAGAUUACAGGAAUAUACACAAAAAGUCAACAUUCCCCCUCCAGUUGGUGCAUAUAUGUCACACAUGCCCAACUUAUGUAGGAAACUUGAAAACUUAUGACUUGAAACAGCCUUUGUGAGGAUAUCUGCCAACUGAUCUUCCGUUCUUAUCGCUGGUUCCUCAAUUAUCUUCCUUUCCAAUUUCUCUUUGAUGAAGAACCGGUCAACUUCAACAUGCUUUGUUCUAUCAUGCUGUACUGGAUUAUGUGCAAUAUCACAUGCAACUUUAUUAUCACAAAAUAAUUUCAUAGGUUGAUCAUGUUUUAUACCCAAAUCCCUUAGCAUAAGCUUAAGCCAUAAAAUUUCACAAAGCCCUAAGGUCAUACCUCUGUAUUCAGCUUCUGCACUAGACCGGGCAACCACAUUUUGUUUCUUACUCCUCCAAGUAACCAAGUUACCCCCAACGAAUGUAAAGUAACCUGAUGUUGAGCGCCUGUCAUCCACUGAUCCUGCCCAAUCUGCAUCAGUAUAACCUUCAACUCUAAGAUGAUUAUUCCUUUUAAACAAAAUUCUUUUGCCUGUGCUUCCCUUCAAAUAUCUUAAAAUCCUCAUCGCUGCAUUCAUAUGGUGUUCUCCAGGAUCAUGCAUGUAUUAACUCACUACACUCAAGGCAUAUGCAAGGUCUGGUCUUGUAUGUGCCAAGUACAUUAAACGGCCUACUAACCUUUGGUAUCUCCCUUUGUCAACUGAUACUUGAUUAGGAUCAACACUAAGUUUCAAUCCUUCCUCUAAUGAUGUAGCUACUGGCUGACAAGCUGACAUGCCGGUUUCGUAUAACAAAUCAAUAAUAUACUUCCUCUGAGACAAAUAAAUUCCAGAAUUGCUUCUCGACACCUCAAUCCCUAGAAAAUAUUUUAGGGAUCCAAGGUCUUUCAUCUCAAAUUCUGUAGACAAGUAUCCUUGCAAGGCCGCACGUUCUUCUGGAUCAUUCCCUGUUACAACCAUAUCAUCUACAUACACAAUGAGUGCAGUAAGCUUCCCAUUUCAUCUUUUCAAAAACAGAGUAUGAUCGGAAUUACUUUUUGUGUAACCAAAUGCUCUCAUAGAUUUUGUGAAUGUUCCAAACCAUGCUCGAGGGAACUGCUUCAAACCAUACAAGGAUUUUUUCAACCUGCAUACCUUUCUUUUGUAUUUAUCAGGAGCACUACAUCCUGGUGGAAGAUCCAUCUAAAUUUCUUCUGUCAAAUCUCCAUGCAAGAAUGCAUUCUUCACAUCAAACUGUUGUAAGGUCCAAUUAAGAUUUGCAGCCAAGGACAACAAAAUAUGAACUGUGUUGAUCUUGGCCACAUAGGCAAAUGUAUCUGUAUAAUCGAUUCCAUAUUUUUUAGUGUGCCCUUUUGCUACCAGUCUUACCUUGAAACGAUCCACUGUCCCAUCAGCUUUGUACUUGACAGUAUAGACCCAUUUGCAUCCCACAGGUUUCUUGCUAGCUAGCAAGUCCAUGAUCUCCUGCACACUGUUAGGAAUAGAUACAGUAGAUAAUUGAAACACAAAUGACUUAUUUGAUUCUGAUAAGUGGCUGGUAGACACAUAAUUACCUAACGGGUAUAACACAUUAGAUUCUUGGUUGGGUCUAUUCACCGGGUACCUAGUUUUGCAUUUAGGGUCAACUUCGUAAGUAAGUUUAGGAAUACCUCGGUUGACACGGUUAGGGAGACAAUGUCGUGGUGGAGCAUCCGGGAUCGAAGACGAUUGAUCAUGGUUAUUGGGCCUCAAGGGUGGUGAGACCAACUGUGAGGUAGUUGGCGACAAUGAGUUGUCUAAUGGUGAGGAGGUUGGCAGUGAGUUGUCCAACGGUGAGGAAGGCAAUGAAUUUUCUGGCGGUGUCGGCUCAUCAACAUUGCUUUCAUGUGAAUGAUCACCACUUAACUCCAGGGCAUUACCACUUAAUUCCAAGUCAUUCACAUUAUUACUUUCUUGUGAAUCAUCACCACUUGUUUCCAAUACAUCACCACUUAAAUCCAAAUGAUUCACAUCAUUAUGUUUUUGUGAAUCAUCACCACUUGUUUCCAAUACAUCACCACUUAAACCCAAAUGAUUCACAUAAGGAAUAGUAUAAUCAAGAGUUUGAACUUCUGUCUGAUUCUCCCCCUGAAGUGCAGACUCUGAAUGGGCAAAGUACAUAUCGUUUUCAUGAAAUGCAACAUCCACAGUGACAAACAACUUUUUCGUCAGAGGAUGAUAGCAGCGAUAUACUUUUUUAUUAGAGGCAUACCCCAUAAACACACAACAUAAGGCUCGAGGUUCAAGCUUACUCCUAUGCUGUUUAUGGAGAUGAAUGAAAGCCACACAACCAAAAACGUGAGGUGGAAGAUUUGGAACUGCAUGAGCAUCAACAUGUGAGGAGAGAGCCUAAAGAGGUGUCUGAAAAUCAACUAAUCGGGAUGGAACGUGAUUAAUGAGAUACGCAGCCGAGGUGAGAGCUUCUCGCCAAUAGGAUAACGAGAGAUGCCCCUCGAGUAAGGAAGCAUGAACAACCUCCAGAAGGUGACGAUUCUUGCGCUCUGCAACCCCAUUUUGUUGUGAAGUGUAUGGACAUGUAGUUUGAUGAACAAUACCAUGAUGAUCCAGAAAGGCACGAAGUUCAGAGUUCAUAUACUCGCCACCAUUAUCACUCAUGAGAACCUGUAUUUGUGACUUAUACUGUACUUGAUCCAUUUUAUGAAAUUGCUAGAACAAGGAAGUAACUUCACUUUUUGACUUCAUCAAACAAACCCAAGUCAGACGUGUGCAAUCAUCAACAAAAGUAACGAACCAAUAAGCACCACCAAAUGUAGCAAUUUUAGAUUGUCCCCAAACAUCAGAAUGGAUUAUCAUAAAUGGAACAGAACUUUUUGUCAAACUGGACGGAAACGAAGUACGAUGACUUUUAGCUAGUUCACAAACACCACAUUUAAAGCUAGAAACGUCAUUCUUAACAAAUAGGCUAGGAAACAACCUCUGUAAAUAACCGAAAGAAGCAUGUCCAAGUCGACGAUGCCACAACCAAACCUUCGAAGCUUUAUUCCACUCCCCCUGAGAUCCUUCCACAGUAAGAGCUUGAGUCAACAGUUGGGUACUAUUUAAUGUCAGCUCCAAGUAGUAAAGCCUCCCUUUUCUGAUACCAUAACCAAUCGUCUUGCGAGUCCGAAUAUCCUUAAAAACACAAAAAGAAGGCCAAAAAAUAACAAGACAAUGUAGGGCGACGGUUAUUUGAGCAACAGAUAAUAAAUUAUAAUCAAGAGAAGAAACAACAAGGACGAUAUCAAGAUUAAGGGUAUCUGUAAGGGAGACAUCGUCUUCCCCAAUAAUAGGGGCAGGGUUACCAUUGGCAACACUUACAACAGUUUUGGUGGAUGGUUUUAGGGUUUGUACCUGUCUAGAAUCACAAGUCAUAUGUUCAGUGCACCGGAAUCAAUUAUCCAUGUAUUAUUCGUAACAGAUGCAGAAACCUUUAAAACUUUACCAUCGUUGUUUGUGUGUUCAGAAGCUACCUUAGCUUUGGCAAUCAAUGCACACGACUCAUUACAGCGGGAUGACGAGUCCAGUAUGUCAUUUCUCCGCAUGAGUUGAGUGGAACGUCUGAGGUGAUUGAUAGGGCCAAGAUUCCAAACCAACUAGGUCAACAAUGCGAGACCCUUAGAAAAAAAACAAACACUAACACAAAAAAGGACAAACUAUUUUUUAUUCCUUUUUUUUUCUUUUUUCCUUUUUUUCUUUUUUUCUUUUUUCUUUCUUCUUUUUCUUCUUUUUCUUUUUUUCUUUUUUCUUUUUUGCUUUUUCUUUUUUUCUUUUUUUCUUUUUUUCCUUUUCUUUUGUCCUUUUUUCCUUUCCUUACGCCUGGGGACUUCCUUCAACACACGGUAAAGCAAAAAAUAAAUGCAGAUAAGACCAAAUCACAUUUCCUUACACCUGGGGACUUCCUUCAACACACGGCAAAGCAAAAAAUAAAUGCAGAUAAGACCAAAUUAGUUUCGCAGAACACGAGUCAGUUUCUGGUGCAUACAAAAUUGCAGACAGAGGUCGUAGUUGUCAACCGGGAUUUGCAACGGCAAGGUUUCUAGAUUAGGAUCUCAGUUCGUGGGUAUGCGAUGCAGCAACGAACAGUAGUAGGUGAUUGCAGGGAUCGGCUUAGUGAACUUGGGUCAGCAACGACAGCGUCGCUCACUGGUCUGGAUGGAUGCAGGGGUCAGCUCGGUGAACUCGGAUCAGCAACGACGGCGUCGCUCGCUAGUGUGAUCGUGCGCUGCACAACUGGCUGCACAACCGAUGGUUCUUGGUUCUGCGCACAGCGAGCAACUUUUUUCCUUUUUUCUAACCUAGGCUCUGCCACAAAGAAGGGAAUGCUCUUUUGAAAUAAUUGUGUAUUUUAUUCAUCUCUCAAUGAGGGAUUUAUAAGAUGUUACAAUUCUAUCAAUAAGAAAAGAAAUAAUUUACAUAAAAUUAUAUUAAACUAAAAAUCCCAAGAUUACAGGAAUAUACACAAAAAGUCAACAUGCUCUGAUCAAGGGCAUUCUCCUUCCCUCGUUUGCUAGUUGAAUCAACACAAAUUGCCUGCCAAAACUUGAGACCAUAAACCCUCUUAAACAUAACUAAAAAUCAAACCAACAACAGUAUCAAUAUGCAUUCACAAAUCAAAUACUAUAAUCAACCGCACCUCCAUCUCUGCUGCCAAAAUCAACCUCUUGAGUCUUAAUAUUCCCAGGCCAUUCCUUGACUUUAUGAUGCUUUCUGACUACCUUGGCAUUGACAUCCUUAUGUAAGCAAACACAUGUUGCCCUUAGAUGAUAUAGUCCUGAAAUUUAGUUGAAUUAAAUAAUUAAAAACUGAUUGAUUGAUUAAUUAAACACACAGAAAAUAAUUGAAGAGAAACUUUUAGAGAGUCUGAAUCUUGGCUAUGGAAUGAAAAUGGUGCUAUCAUUUAGUUUAUGGAGAGUUUUAUAUUACUUCUGACAUCAUCAAUCUUGUGGAUAACUUUUUAAUAAGGGUAAAAGACUGUUUACUACCCUCAUGUUUCAUGGUUUUCAACAUUUAGUACAUCAAGUUUUUUUCGUCUCAGAAUCAUACCUAAAGUGUAAAUUUUGGGACAGUCUCAUACACCCGUUAGUCAAACUGUUAAAUCUGCCGUUAAUUGUGACGUGGCGCCCAUGUGGACAAUGACUGGGUGCCACGUGUCAGCCACAUUUUUUUUCUUUUCUUUUUUCUUCUUUCUUCUUUCUUCUUCUUCUUCAUCCGAUUGCAACUUUUUUUUUCUUCCUCCUUCUCCUUCUUCCUUCUUCCUUCUUCCUUCUUCCUUCCCCUUCUUCUCCUUCCUUCUUCUUCCUUCUUCCUUUCCCUUCUUCUCCUUCCUUCUUCCUUCUUCCUUCUCCUUCUCCUUCCUCCGAAUCUGGGGAAGUUUUUUUUUUUUUUUUCUUCUUCCUCCUUCUUCCUCCUUCCUCCUUCUUCCUUCUUCCUUCUCCUUCCUCCUUCUUCCUUCUUCCUUCUUCUUCCUCCGAAUCUGCCCAAAUUCGGUUUUUUUUUUCUCCUUCUUCCUCUUUUUUUCUCAUUCCUCCUCCUUCCUUCCUCUUCUUCUUCUUCUUCCUCCGAAUCUGCCCAGAUUUGGCUUCUUUUUUUCUUCUUUUUUCUUUUUUCUUCUUCUUCUUCUUCUUCCACCGACUGCAACUUUUUUUCCUUCUUUCUUCUUCUUCCUCCUCCUUCCUCCUUCUUCUUCCUUCUUCUUCUCCUUCUUCCUUCCUCCUUCUUCCUUCCCCUUCUUCUCCUUCUUCCUUCUUCCUUCUUCCUUCUUCUUCAUCUUCCUCAAAAAAAAAAAAAAAAACCUUCAUCUUCCCCAGAUUCGAAGGAAGAAGAAGGAAGAAGAAGGAAGAAGGAGGAAGGAGGAAGCAAGAAGGAGAAGAAGAAGGAAGAAAAAAAAAAAAAAAACCGAAUCUGGGUAGAUUCAGAGGAAGAAGAAGAAGAAGAGGAAAGAAGAAGAAGGAAGGAGGAGGAAGAAGGAAAAAAAAAAAAAAAACUUCCCCAGAUUCGGAGGAAAAAGAAGGAGAAGGAAGAAGAAGGAAGAAUGAGAAGAAGGGGAAGGAAGAAGGAGGAAGGAAGAAGGAGAAGGAGGAAGAAAAAAAAAGUUGCAGUCGGAGGAAGAAGAAGAAGAAAGAAGAAAGAAGAAAGAAGAACAAAGAAAAAAAAACGUGGCUGACACGUGGCGCCCAGUCAUUGUCCACAUGGGCGACACGUCACAAUUAACGGCAUAUUUAAUAGUUUGACUAACGGAUGUAUGAGACUGUCCCAAAAUUUACACUUUAGGUAUGACUCUAAGACGAAAAAAACUUGAUGUACUAAAUGUUGAAAACCACGAAACAUGAAGGUAGCAAACAGUCUUUUACCCUUUUAAUAAUUUAAACGAAAGUGUAUUCAGUAUCGGGAAUUGAGUAAAGAUAAUAUGUUCAUUGAACCAAACAUUACUAAAAUGAUACGUUCCUCACUUUGACUUGAGAUCUCAAAUGAUGACUUGGUCAUCUAUCUUGAUGCAAGGAAUGUGAGCUAUCGUCAUCCACUCUUCUCCCGUCUUCUCCUGACACCUCUUCUCCAGGGAAGAACAAUUUUUUAUUUCCAAUAAAGAAAGAGAUGCCGGAAGACCCUCUUUUGGCUGGAAUUCGAGACUAUCACAGUGGUGAAUACGGAGUUCUCGAAGACAAGUGAGGUGUUGAAGUCCCUUUCCCUCCAAAGAUUUUAGACUUUUCAUUUUAGAGAUUUGGAGACUUUUCAUGUCCCUCGACCUGAAGCCAGGGAUUAUUUCUCCCGGCCCACAUGCGAGCACCAUAAACCUCGCUGUUGCGGAAUAGUGACCACUAGAUAAGCACAAAACCAUUGAACAUAGUAUUUCCAAACAUAGGUACAUAUAUCUCAAAAACAUCUUCAUAGUAUAAGGUCAUCUAUCAUCUAUACUAUAAAGAAGUGGGUAAACACAUGUUCUAAAUAGUAUAUCGUCAUCCAUCAAAUACCCUACAAGAACAUGGGUUCGAUAGAAAAAUAUGGUAUUCCAAAAUAUUAGCAGUAAGCAUAAUAUCUCAUAAAACGUAAUCAUUAAAUCGUGCUUUUUAUGUAUGCAUUUUUACUAUUAAACAUGCAUUUUAGAAGGGGUCCACUCACAGAUACUCCGUCAAAGAUGAGCCGUACGAAAUAGGAAUGACGGAAUCGCCACUAUUAAUUGCACCUAAGCACAUAAAGGGUACAAUUAACAAAAUUAUACUCAAACGAUUGAAUUUGAGAAAAUAGAUAUCAUAAACGGGUCCAUGACGUCGAAAUUAGCCUAUGAAGGGUCCCGGACGAAACCUAAAAAAGUCAACCCGAAAAAUUAACUUUGAUGGUCAAAGUCAAAGUAAUCGGUCAACAUUAACCUGGUCAAUGGUCAGACCGGGUUUGAGUCAACAGGUCAAACCGGGUCACGGGCCAGAUCAAGGGUUUUGGUUGGGCUUAAAGGGUUUGGGUCCGAUGGGUUUUAGGGUUAGUGGACCGGAUCCAUGGCCCAAAGGCCUGUAUCCAAUAGGGUUUUGGGUCUGGCUUUGACAGGCUGGGCUCAAGUUCUACGAGCCAAAGGCCCAAGUUCCAUGCGACCCAAAGGCCUUAGGUCUUAGGGUUUUAAAAGGGUUUCACCGGGUUGGGCUUAGAAGCAAUGGCCCGAAGGCCCCAUAUCUACACGGCCCUAAGGACCGGUUUUAGGAAAUAAAUAUAAAAAAAAGGUUGGGCUUAAGGGUCACGAAGGCCUAGUCUAUUUGAUUUGGCUUGAAGGCCCUUUCUUUGUCGAGGAAGAAGGCCGGAGCCUUCCAAGCUCCGGUUAACGUCAUUUCACCGAUCUACCCUCUGAUCUACUUACGAACAUGAAGAUACAAGAACGGGGAAGAUGGACGGGGUGGCCGGGAUCUCGUGCAAAAGGCACGGGGCUCGUCAGAGAGAUUUGGGUGCCUUUAGGUGUCUCGGAGCUUGCAGAGACGAGGGGGAGUGAGAAAGAGUACACGGAGAUGGUAGUGGCGGUGCGUCGACGUCAAGGUGGAGGUGUAGGUGUGCGUGGGUGUGAUCGGGAAAUGAGGUGAGAAGGGGAGUUUCGAGAGAGAGUGAGAGUUAAGAGCUGAGAGUGAGAGAUCCGAGAGAGACUUGGGGAAAAAAAAAGGUAAGGUGAGUUCGUGGCCCGCCACGUGGCAGCGUGGGGGAGAAAGAAAAUCUAGAUAAAGGGUCCAAAUUCAAUUAGGAUAAGGGACCUUAUUGCACAUUUCAAUAACUUUUAGGGGAAAUGUGGGAUUACAAAGAAAUUUUGGGGAGGGGUUUUACAAAUCUUCCUUUCAUAUAUGACAAAUGCCGAACUCGUUUAGGAUCAUGUGGCUCUCCUUCAUCCAACCUAAAACAAAAUUCUCCAGACACAAACAUAGCCAAGUUAUUAAUGAGAUCAUGCAUUGUGAAACUUGAUUUCCCAAUUAAUGAUCUUUGAAGUAGUGAUCGUGACAAUAGUUCAUCAAAGUAUCUCUUGCCGACCUCUUCCAAUCCUUUACCACUCUCAGCUUGUGGAAUUAAACCCAGUGCCAUCCAAAGUUGAAUUAUAUUUUCCUUUUCAAAUUCAUAGUCCUUUGGGAAAAUUGAGAAAUAAGCAAAGCAUUGUUUCAAAUAAGUAGGGAGAUAAAGGUAACUCAUUCUUAAUGAUGGAAGAACACGUUUAUCAUGCAAUAUCUCCCAAAGAUUGUUGUUCAAUAUGUGACUCCAUUCCUUGUAAUCCACAUUACAACCUAAGAGACCCCGAAGUGCUUUUGCAGCUAAAGGAAGACCAUUGCACUUGCGUGCAAUUUGCUUACCAAUUUCUUCCAAGUCUGGAUACGCACUAGGAUUUUCAUUUCUAAAUGCAUGUUUUGCAAUUAACAACCAACAAUCUUCAUCUGACAAAUGUUUCAAGUAGUGAAUAGGCGCGGUGUGCACUAGGGAUGCAACACUUUUGUUUCUUAUUGUUACAAUGACCUUACUUCCCCUCACCCCAUAAGUAAAAGGAUCCCGUACAAGAUCCCAAUCAAUAUAGUUGUCAUUCUAAAGGUCGUCAACCACAAAUAGGAACUUUUCCCCCUCGCUUGUUCCCUUAGUUCAACUUGAACAAGAUAUCUUGAAGACUGCAAGGUUUUGAGCUAAUUGAUUCAAUAAGGGUUUUAGUUACCCUCAUAGCAUCAAAAUCUUCGGAAACACAUGCCCAAGCAGUAACAUCAAAAUGCUCUUUUAUUUUUUCAUCAUUGUAAAGGACCUGAGCAAGGGUUGU